UCUCAUUUCUUUUGGAAUCAUUUUCUUUCCUCCUACUCUAUAAAGCAAGGUGUUGAUGUGGAACUUACAACUGUUUGUGAUUACAUCACAAAUAAUGGACGCUUCCCAAAGCACAGCGGAACUGAUGUGACAUCAUCAAACCCAAGUAGACAUUUGUGUGUGUUUCAUCCUCUGGAAGCAUUUUACCCCGUCAUUGUCAACAAGAGCUGUCACCUAAUGAACACACAUCAUGGGAGAUUCAUAAAUCACGAUGAGUCACAAACACACCAGAUUUUGAGACCUGCUGAUUUAGAUUGGAAGCUGAUGAGCGUGAAAUAAGGUCCAGGUCAAGGAGCAUUCCUAAGAUGCCAGAAGGCACAAGAAAUUAAAACAGAAGCCAGAAGAGUAAUAUCCAAGGCACUUUAAGGAGUGGUUCAAAUGAAAGAAACACAGGCUGAAUGAAAUUCAUGGACCAAAUCUCUGAAAAUUGUCCCUGCUGAAGGAAGACCAUUGACUGCAUAAUUUAUGAAGCUCAUACUAACUCUUGAUGAAGCAUUUCAAUGUCAUCUCUUCAAGAAUGGUGUACCCUUGUUAACAAGGUAUUUUUGGCCACCUUGAAUGAAGAGUAGAGGUGUCACUCCAGAUAAUCUCCAUGGGCCAACAUGCCCCACAAUAUGAAAAUAUCAAUAAAUAUUAUUUAACAAUGAAUAGCUCUAUAGAC
rnacentral:lncRNA from 1 species